UGCACAUUGCACACGCGUCCUCAUCGUCCUCAUCCGUGUGCCUUUUCGUUGGAUUUUCUUACUGCUAUACACAUGUUCUUCAUCCCAAAACGGAGGAAAGAUGGAAAAUCAAGGCUCUUCCAUUUGCUUCCACAAAUUUCUUGAUCUCUCUCGAGCUCCGGAUCCUAGCCUCCGCAUGAAGGAAAUCGUCAAUCUUGCUGAAACCUUGGUUUCCUGAUUUCAUCAGUUUUUCGGUUCGAUCAGGAUCACUUUUUUACCCACGAAAUCUAGCAUCUUCUGAUCCGGCUUGGGUGUAUGAUCAAGAGACCUUGCUGUUUGUUUUUGGGCUUUGGUGUAUAGACUUCGAAGUCCUUUGUGCACAAGCAUUGAAAAGAGAUUGAGGGUUUUGGUUUAGUCAGACGGAGGGGGAGAUAAAGAGAGAAGUGGAUUAUGUGCAUGAAUGGGGUGGUACUCGGAGAAUUUUGUCAAGGGCCAAUGGGACAAGGAGGAUUGCAUUUCAGAUUGGCAGAAAUACAAUGCCUCCCAUCUGUAUAAUGUCAUCAAAUUCUAGAUGAGGUGCAUCCAGACAUCAGUUUGGUAAAGCAGUUAAAGAAGGGUGCGAGGAAACUUUAUAAAAGAUUAAGGAAGUCUUUGGCAAGCCAUAAUACAUGAUAAACAAAAUAAUUGGGUUUUAGUAAAUAUUGAUUUUGUAAAAUUCUUUAUUUAAAUUUCUAGGUUCUGAUGAAUUCUCAUUUAGAGUUGGUGACAACCAAUUGACUCACCACCGACUUUAGAUCAAGAUUCAAGUAUGCCUUAAAUUUAAAGAAUGCAUUAAGAUUCAGCUCUCCGAUCCGAAGGACCUUAAGAUUGAAGGCUGAAUUAUUCAACGUGCAGGCAUCGAUUUCUAGUAAAACCUAAGACCCAAAAGAGAGAGAAGUCAACCCAUUGACGAGGACAAUUUUCAAGCAAGACAAGAUUUUAAACUUGUCAUUAUAUGAUUUUAAACUUGUCAUUAUAUGCAUUGAAUUGUAGUAGUUUUCUAAAUAUAUGAAGGCGAGGAGGAACCACAACCUAGCAUCUUGGAAAACCAUGCCAAAUGCCGUAAAAACAAAGGGCAGCAUAAAAGUAAAGGAGCUGCCGCCAGCAGGGUUUGUGCCAGAUUUAUUGUCGUCGGCUGGGGUGGGUGGUGUUGUGGCUGUUGGUUUAUAGUUUUAGUUUUUUAGUCUUUUUGUUCUUAUUUUUUACAACUUAAGCUAGUAGGGAUAGUUUUAAUUAUUUUAAUGAAUUUAGGUGUAUUCAAUCAAGAUUUUAAGUGAUUCUCUAAAAUUCAAUGUGUAUUCAAUCAGGAUUUUAAGUUAGUUUA